GACGAACGCUGGCGGCGUGCUUAACACAUGCAAGUCGAACGGAAAGGCCCUGCUUGCAGGGUACUCGAGUGGCGAACGGGUGAGUAACACGUGGGUGAUCUGCCCUGCACUUCGGGAUAAGCCUGGGAAACUGGGUCUAAUACCGGAUAGGAGCCAUUUUUAGUGUGAUGGUUGGAAAGUUUUUUCGGUGUAGGAUGAGCUCGCGGCCUAUCAGCUUGUUGGUGGGGUAAUGGCCUACCAAGGCGGCGACGGGUAGCCGGCCUGAGAGGGUGGACGGCCACAGUGGGACUGAGAUACGGCCCAGACUCCUACGGGAGGCAGCAGGGGGGAAUAUUGCACAAUGGGCGCAAGCCGGAUGCAGCGACGCCGCGUGGGGGAUGACGGCCUUCGGGUUGUAAACUCCUUUCGCUAGGGACGAAGCUUUUUGUGACGGUACCUAGAGAAGAAGCACCGGCUAACUACGUG
rnacentral:rRNA from 1 species